rnacentral:rRNA from 1 species
UACGUAGGGUGCGAGCGUUGUCCGGAAUUAUUGGGCGUAAAGAGCUCGUAGGCGGUCUGUCGCGUCUGCUGUGAAAUCCCGAGGCUCAACCUCGGGCUUGCAGUGGGUACGGGCAGACUAGAGUGCGGUAGGGGUGACUGGAAUUCCUGGUGUAGCGGUGGAAUGCGCAGAUAUCAGGAGGAACACCUAUAGCGAAGGCAGCUUGCUGGGACGUUACUGACGCUAAGGCGCGAAAGCGUGGGGAGCGAACAGG